rnacentral:lncRNA from 1 species
CUCGAUGAGAUCAGCUAUCUACAGUCUAUACUGAACCUGAAAUGGGUGGAAAGAAGGGUGGUGAGAUUAUAAAAUCCCAAUGAGUAAACAAACAUCAUCAUAAACAUCUAGAGUUGAGUACAUGGAGACAAUAAAGUAAAUCAUCACAAACUGGGUUAUACAAUUAGAACACAUCUCGUUCAAAAUACGUAAAAAGGCUUAUGAAUCUCAUAAAAUCUAGGCUUAUGCCAUAAAUCCAUUCUCGGAGACACCUUGGCCGAGGCAUCUUACCGAGACCGCCAAGGCUAUUAAAAUUCACAUUUCACAUAAAUCAUGUUUUUGUUUUGAAAACAUAGCCGUUCCUUGGCGUUGGCUGAGUUCUCCCUCACGUGGUGGUUUAACGUGAAGUGAACCCUAAACUUUACCUCAGGAGAUACCCUACGCGCCUCUCCGUUCGAGGUAAGAAUAUAAUGGGGUUUACCGUGUCCCUCUAAAAGGCUGGUCCACAGAAACCCCCUACUGCAGUGAUUAAUUAAUAUAUAAUCCACCAUAUAAUAAAACUCAAUAACAUGAUAUGGCAAUUUUGAAAUUCGCAGUUUUUCAAGGUAACCAAACAAUUCACAUUUCAAUACAAUUGCCAACUAGCCAAUCAUGCUCGAUUUAUCAUAAGCUAGUUAAUUUAAACAAUCAAAUUGCCACAAUUAAUAGUCUUCGUGUACUCUAUUUUUCAAAAUCACUAUUAAUUUCAAAACAAUUUAUAAUUUAAUUUCAUUGAAACUCAUUUAUUCAUAAAACAUGAAAAUUUAUCUUUUUAAAUUCCUUUUUCCAUAGAAUUCAUGAAAGCAUCUAAAAGCCACCCUAGAUAAUUAAAAUGACAGUAAGUUUACUCACAAUGUCUAGAAUGCAGACUUUCGAAGCACUCUGUCUACUGGUCCUCGAAUGCAAUUUUCUUGCCUUUAUCGGAGGACUCACCACCUUGACACAGUACAAAAUUGAGAAUUUCACCAAGUUGGUACUAAAUCAAAAUUAAACUAAUUUCGACUACCAAUGCAUGAUAUGGAAUGCAAAAAUGCACUGGUAACUAUCAAAACUCAGUAUUGGCCUAAUUCGUCUUAUCACCCGAUUAAAUUCCUAACGCGUCCGUUUAACUCCAAUUUAAUUCUUUUGAGUUUCUAUACCUCAAUUGCACCCAAAUUAACUUAAUGUCCCUUAGUGUGCUACAAAUUAUCAGUCUCGAUAGUAAAUUACGAAAAUACCCCUAGUGGGUAAAAAUUCAUAUUUUUGCUCCGAAAAUUCCCAUUAUUUUUCUAGGCUCAUAAUUCAUUAUUCCUUAACCAAUUCUCCUAGAAUAAAAUCAAACUCAUCCUCACUCACUACAUGGUAAAUUCAGCCAUUAAUGGUUGGGGGAGAAAAUAAAUUCUUUUCUUGUUGUUUUGUUUCUAAAUAUGCUAAACUAACUAAAAACACUAACAUAAAUUAAAAUCAAAUAAAUCCAACAACUUUCUCUCUCCUAACCCAUUUUUUCAGAAUUGAAUUCAUCAUGAAAACAUGUAAUUUAAUCAUGGAAAAUAAAGAGAAAUGCUUGGGAAUAAGAAAACUCAAGCUUAAUAGAAAAAAUCUCACCUUUUUCACUUAAUUUCCUUGAAAAUUCACACUUUUUCUUUGAUUUUCUCUCUCUAGGGUUUUGUUUUUGUUUUCUCUCUCUUCUUGCUGGUUUGGC